UUUUUUCACUUCAGAGCCCUUCACAUAGUCACACUUUAUUCCCCUGUCAUCCAUCACCCAUCAAAAGAAGAGAUGGUACAACCAGUGGGAACCUGAGACUCUGAAACAGGAAGAAUUUGACUCUCGGCUUUCCCAGCCAGUGACCAAACUUGACUAGCCACAGUUUUCUUGCCAUCAUUUGCCCGAAUUAACAAGCUAGGACGCGUUCUAGUGGAGACCAGGGCCACUGCCAUUCCCACCUUCUCAGAGCCCCAUCGAUGGCCGGAAUGCCCCAGAGGAAGAGAAGACGUUCUUCAAAUUUCUUACUUAACUCUGCAGAGUGAGUGGCUGAAUGUGGAUAAAUCCCACGACUGUGUCUCACACCAGCUACCAAGUUCAGGAGGGUACAUGACAAGGAUCAAUCCAACAAAGAGAAAAUAUGCGUCGACUGGGCAGUGUGGCACAGCCCUACAAUCCCA